rnacentral:rRNA from 1 species
GACGAACGCUGGCGGCGUGCCUAAUACAUGCAAGUCGAACGAGACUUUCCUCGGUAGUAAUACCUUUGAUUGUCUAGUGGCGAACGGGUGAGUAACACGUGAGGAACCUGCCCUGAAGACGGGGAUAACAGGAGGAAACUUCUGCUAAUACCCGAUACCCCCACCGGAUCGCAUGGUCUGGUGAGGAAAUGGAUUCCGCUUCAGGAGGGUCUCGCGGCCUAUCAGCUUGUUGGUGAGGUAACGGCUUACCAAGGCUUGGACGGGUAGCUGGUCUGAGAGGACGAUCAGCCACACUGGGACUGAGACACGGCCCAGACUCCUACGGGAGGCAGCAGUAAGGAAUAUUGCGCAAUGGGCGAAAGCCUGACGCAGCAACGCCGCGUGCGGGAUGAAGGCCCUCGGGUUGUAAACCGCUUUCAGUAGGGAAGAAAAUGACGGUACCUACAGAAGAAGCCCCGGCCAACUACGUGCCAGCAGCCGCGGUAACACGUAGGGGGCGAGCGUUGUCCGGAUUUAUUGGGCGUAAAGAGCUCGUAGGCGGUUUCGUAAGUCGGAUGUGAAAACUCCAGGCUCAACUUGGAGACGCCAUUCGAUACUGCGAUGACUUGAGUCCGGUAGGGGAGUGUGGAAUUCCUGGUGUAGCGGUGAAAUGCGCAGAUAUCAGGAGGAACACCGGCGGCGAAGGCGGCACUCUGGGCCGGUACUGACGCUGAGGAGCGAAAGCGUGGGUAGCAAACAGGAUUAGAUACCCUGGUAGUCCACGCCGUAAACGGUGGGCACUAGGUGUGGGAUUCACUCAACGGAUUCCGUGCCGCAGCUAACGCAUUAAGUGCCCCGCCUGGGGAGUACGGCCGCAAGGCUA